UGAACACACAGCAAGCAGUUGAAACACUUAUAAAAAUGCAGAAAUAUGCACAGCAAAUAAUUAAAAAGCAAAGCAAAAAAAAUCACACCUUUGGCUUGGUGAAAGGCAUGGGCAGAGCCCACAACAGUGCGUCCAAAAAAAGUGGUUCAAAAGUCAGAGGAGGAAAUGUUAUAGGUGGGUUUAUCUGUAAACAUUAAAUACUAGCAUCAGAGCAAACUGAAUCUUCCCUUUCAGGACAGAGGGAGCCUUUAAUUCGAAAAGAUCGUUUUUAUUAAUGGUGUUUUGUUUAUGGACUAACUGUACGGACACAAACUGUUUGUUUAAUUGUCACCUUGCAACUAUAAGGAAGACGGAAGAAGGAGCUUCCAGUUCCAUGGUUUUAAUUUUAUUUUAUUUUUAGGUGAAUUAGAUUGUGUUUGGGUUUAAAUAACAACUUUUAUAUUAAGUGUAUUCAUUUUGUAUAUUAA